rnacentral:rRNA from 1 species
UACGAAGGGGGGCGAGCGUUGUUCGGAAUUACUGGGCGUAAAGAGCUCGUAGGUGGUUUGUCGCGUUGUCCGUGAAAACUCACAACUCAAUUGUGGGCGUGCGGGCGAUACGGGCAGACUGGAGUACUGCAGGGGAGACUGGAAUUCCUGGUGUAGCGGUGGAAUGCGCAGAUAUCAGGAGGAACACCGGUGGCGAAGGCGGGUCUCUGGGCAGUAACUGACGCUGAGGAGCGAAAGCGUGGGGGAGCGAACAGG